CCUACGGGAGGCAGCAGUUUGGAAUUUUGGACAAUGGGCGAAAGCCUGAUCCAGCGACGCCGCGUGGACGAUGAAGGCCUUCGGGUCGUAAAGUCCUUUUAGCAGGGAACAAUUUUUGAGCGUACCUGCAGAAUAAGAGGUUGCUAACUCUGUGCCAGCAGCCGCGGUAAUACGGAGGGGGCAAGCGUUGUUCGGAAUUACUGGGCGUAAAGGGCGCGUAGGCGGCUUUUUAAGUCGGUGGUGAAAUCCCGUGGCUCAACUGCGGAAUUGCCAUCGAUACUGGAAAGCUUGAAUCCGGAAGAGGUCGGCGGAAUUACUGGUGUAGCGGUGAAAUGCGUAGAUAUCAGUAGGAACACCGAUGGCGAAGGCAGCUGGCUGGACCGGUAUUGACGCUGAGGCGCGAAAGCGUGGGGAUCAAACAGGAUUAGAUACCCUGGUAGUCCACGCCCUAAACCAUGGAUACUUGGUGUGACCACCGCAGUGGUGGUUGUGCCGAAGCUAACGCAUUAAGUAUCCCGCCUGGGGAGUACGAUCGCAAGAUUGAAACUCAAAGGAAUUGACGGA
rnacentral:rRNA from 1 species